AAGAUUUUAAAAGUCGAACAGACUUAAUUAUUAAACUUCUUCAUUUAAAAUUUAUCUUAAUUCAACAUCGAGGUCGCAAUCAUCUUUAUAAAUUUGAUCUUAAAAAAGAUAUUACG
rnacentral:rRNA from 1 species